GCCGGGUAUAGUGGCUAAUGCCUGUAAUCCCAACACUUUGGGAGGCUGAGGCAGGUGGAUUGCCUGAGGUCAGGAGUUCAAAACCAGCCUGGCCAACAUGGCAAAACCCUGUCUCUA
rnacentral:SRP_RNA from 1 species